rnacentral:lncRNA from 1 species
UCUGCGCUCAGCCCAAACGAGGCGUUGCCGUCAGUUUCUGAAUCUCUCAAGUCUGAACACUAGGAUUCGCCUGUACCUUUGACGGCAGCCCGACGAAGGAGAGGCCGGGCGCGUAUUUCGGAGGGAAGACGUGCUUGUACAGAGGGCUGACGUAGUUGUCGUCCUCGUCGACGGUGAGUUCCUCCAGGUGGUCCAGGAACGGGAAAUGGUAGCGGUAGCCUGUGCAGUAGAGGAUGAUGUCGGCUGCCAUCGUUGUGCCUUCACCGAACCGCACUUGGCCGUCAUCUUGGAUGCAAUUCACCUGCUUGGAAGUUGAGACACUGCGUUAUUGGCUUCAGACUUGAAAGGGCAGAGGAGAAAAAAGUUCAGAGUUGUGAAUUACGGCACCUCUGUGUGCAUCCAAACAUUUCGGUAGAUAUCGAUCUUCCCCAGCCUGUGCUCGUCAUGCCUCGAUGCGAUGUGCACUUCCUUUGCCACAUGCGAGAUCUCCCUAGCAAUGUCCACUCCGCUGGCGCCUAAUCCUACAACAACAACGACCUGCAGAGUGAUUGGAACCAAUUUGUUCGGAACCAGAUUUUUGUGUGUGGAAAAUUGUUGCUGUUAAGUAAAGUACCUCAUCUCGAAAUGGCUCUGGGAUGCGGUAUCUGUGGCUGUGCAUCUGCUUCCCUUGCCAAUUUUCAAUUCCUGCAUCGCGAAAUUGAAAUUAAGGAUGAUCUUGUCUGUCUGACAAAAAACUGAUAAUUUCUAAUUUCGUUUCCCUGGUCUGAGUUGAGAAGAUCUGGAAGGAAGGGAGGGGGGAAGAAACAGGGCAAUCGCGCCUCUCACCAGGGAGCUUGGGCACAAGGGGCACGGAGCAGUGCCCAGUGCACACGACGACGGCGUCGAACACCUCCACGGCCACCUCGCCUUUUUCCAAGUCGCGCCACGCCACGCUCCACCUCUUUUCCUCUUCCACUUCUUCUUCCCCGCCGCCGACGGGCGCCACGCGCAGCACCUCGGCGCGGAGCCUAACGCGCGACGCGACGCCGGAUUCAUCGGCGAAGGCGCGCAGGAAGGCGAGCACCUCCCGGUGGCCCGGGAACACGCGCGGGUCGCCGGCGAAGACCCCGUCCGCGAGGUCGUGGCCGGAGAAGCCCAUGAGCUCGCGCGGCAGGUUGGUGCGCAGCGACGCGUACAUGCUGCUGCUGCGCGCUCUGGCCGGCGGUUCGUCGUCGUAGGCCCAGGUGCCGCCCAGGCGGGCCGAGCGCUCGAAGACCGCGACGGCGUGGCCCUCGAGGAGCAGCUCGCGCCCGGCCACCAGCCCCGCCGCGCCCGCGCCCACCACGGCCACCGCCCGCGCGCGCCGCUGCAGCAUCGCGGCGCCUGAAUCGGCCGGUCUGUACGAUCGGUUUCGGUGGGUUCGUGGAGGGGUAGGUGCGGAGGAUGGCGUUCACAACAAAAUUUGAUCGAAUCAGUCACUCCUAGUACGUACCACUCUCCAUGGUUCCAAUGCUGGCCGUGCAUGUACGAUCUUGAUCCAAGGAUAAAAAAUCUCGUGCAUUGAAGCCAACAAAAAGCUCCGACAGAUGCAUUUAUGUCAUUGUCAUAAAGAAAAAAAAAGAUCUGCUGAAUUCAAUUCGAGGACGAUCUCUUGCAUCCGGAUGAGCCAUAAAUAUGUGCAACCAUACAAUCCGCCUAAGCAUCAAAUAUGUUUCGUCUUUGCCCAAGAAAUAGUCUAAAUGAGUUUUUUCUUUUCUUUCUUAGACGUGUAUGAUUGAGUUGGGUCCGGGCAAUCAAGUGGAAGGGCACGUUUAGAAACGGGAGGCAGCAAGAAAGUAUUGGGCACCAUCAUCGAGUCUUCUAGCUCAUGUAACUACGAAUCCUGAGAAGGGAGAAAUAGCUGCCGUGCGCAUGAUAGAAUUAGGCAGCGGCGGCCCAAAUACCUCCUCCUUACUAAUUGGCCACCUAUCUCCCGUGGGCUUGUCCAUGUCCAUUGUCGUGCCGCAUGGGCUUGUCCAUCCGUGGGCUUGUCCAUCCGUGGGCUUGUCCUGCCUUCCAGGGAGCUUCAGCUGUUGUUUUCGAAGGGCUCACAGAUGCAGCACUUCUUGAGGCUUUGGAGUGUAGCAAAGCAUUAUCACUUGCAGCUGAUCUGAACCUUCAAUUCAUUGCUGUUGCUUCGGACUGUUUGGGAGUAGUAAAUGAUUUGAAGAACCAGAAUUUUAAGAGCUCCUUUGGUGUCAUCUUGCGAGAAGUAGAAGAGAAGAGAAAGCUAGUACAGGAGGCCAUCUUCGGCCAUGAACGGAGGGAAAGCAAUAACGAGGCUGAUAUACUUGCUAAAUCAGCCACCUAUUUAGAUUUGGGUAGACAUGUGUGGUUGUUUGAUCCACCGGAUCAUGCAUUUUCCCCCAGAUUUUUGAAUGAAUAAAGUCCCCCGUUCCUCUAAAAAAAAAGGUUGUGGGAUGGUGUCCAAUUUUGUUGUCCUUUUAUUUUCGACUGUGAUGUCGUCUCUUUUUUUAAUUUUAUUCAGUGUUUUUGUUGCGCAAAGAGGUGGUUAGAUGAAGACGUACUCUUUGGUGCUAAUGUUUGUAGUUACCUUAAAGGAUUAGCAGUGUUUUGGUGUUUUGCAAGGUUGACUUCAUUUGAAGCACAGUGUAUUUUUCAACGGAAUUGCUAAGGCUAAGUCGCCUGAGAACAUGAAUUUCUCAGUCGAUACACCAUUUGUCGAUCCUUGAGUGUUUGUGCAACCGCGUGAGGGACCCAAGCGUACGGGCCAUGCAGUGGGUUGCCUGGAAGCUUUUUUCAGUUUUUUUUUCUCUUGAAAUUCCUAUGCUUGUUUCUCCCUUUUGUGUUUGGACUUUUCGGUUGUUUAUCUAUUGUGUCUAUUUGGAUCUAGACAUUUUUAUUUGCCCUAAAAAUUUACAGGCUGCAUGCUCAUCUUUUUCUUAUUUGUGCUAAAAAAGAUACGGGCUGCAUUUUUAUUUGCACAUAAAAAAGUUACGGGCUGCAUGUUCAACUUUUAGAAAUAACAAUUUCUCAGUCGAUGCUCUCAACCGUCGGUAUGUGUGCUAAAUUUGUUCAGCUUGGUUAACAGGAGUCGUGGGUGGUUUUGUGUCCUUUUUUGUAACGUGCAGCCGCCUAAGCAUGCCUCAAGGAUUAUUUGUGCUAUGACCCAUCAAUAUAUAUGUGUGUGUUUUUCAUGGGCUAUUUUGGUUGUAUCCUAGUGAACUGGGCUUGGUUUGUUUUGUGUGCUGAACGAAGCCAUUAAGUGAAAUCGUACAACCACGGACAUUUAUAUCUCAAAUUUUGAAGUUUUUUUCCAGCUUUGCUAUACCUCAGCUCAACUGAUUUCUGCGAACCGUCAAUUUUUGGACAUUGGGAUUUUUGCCUUUUUGUCGAUCUGCUUGUGCAUGUGUUGCGUUGCUGUGCGAGAAUGGGCCGGCAAUCGGUUUUGUUUAAUUUUAUUGCAUUGCGUCGCUACGAGAAAAUGGGCUGGCGAUCGGUUUUUUGACAACAAAAUACCUCUUUAUUAUUUGGAAAUAAGGGUUACAUCCUAAACGAGGAGAGGUACAAUGCAAAGGGGAGGAGAAUCAAACCAGGAAUUGGGCUGGCGAUCGGUUUUGUUUAAUUUUAUUCGAUUACAACUGUACUAAUAUUUUGCAUGCGGGUAGCCCAUAUCGUUUUUCUGUUCCAGCGAAUCAGCGACCGAUCCGUCUUCUUUGUUCCAAAGAAUCCUCCUGUUCUGUUUUGAUGUGUAAUCUGGGCUGGCUGUAGAAGUAGAAGGCCGUGGUGUUGAUGCUGGCCUGAGUGCUUUUUUUUUUGCCAACAUCUUGCUUUGUGUUAUGAGCUAAUUUUUAUUUAUAUUUUGGGCUUUCUUACUUGCUCAGCUAUGGCUCAGCUAGUCCUUUACCUUUUUUUGUCGAGGCAGACUAAGUGACAUGAACAUUUUUAAUAAAGUGAAUUACACUUGUUUUUCUUCCAGAAAUAUUUGCACAGUAAAAAUUUAAAAUUUAGGCAGCAACAUCCGUUUGUUUUUUAUUAUAUAUUUGUGUAGAAAUUUGGAUUUUGAAACGUACAAUUGGAUAUCGCACCUUCGGACGGCUAAAACUACACGUGAAAUUUUGUGUGCAAAUUUAGAUAAAUUGCACUUGUUUUUUUGUGUACAAAUUUGGAUUUUAAAAUGUACAGUUGGAUAUUGCACGUCCAGACGGCUAAAAUUGCACGUGAAAUUUUGUGUAAAAUUUGGUUUUUGAAAUGUACAAUUGGAUAUUGCAUGUGAAAUUUUGUGUGCAAUUUUAGAUUUUGAAAUGUGCACUUAGAUAUAUAUUGCACCUUCGGGCGUCUAAAUUUGCACAUGUUUAUUUGUGUACAAAUUUGGAUUUUUAAAUGUACAAUUGGAUAUUGCAACUUCGGUUCAGUAAAAUUGCACGUGAAAUUUUGGGUGCAAAUUUUGGUUUUGAAAUGUACAAUUGGAUAUUGCACCUUCGGACGGCUAAAAUUGCACGUGAAAUUUUGGGUGCGAAUUUGGAUUUUGAAAUAUAUAAUUGGAUAUUGCACCUUCGGACGGCUAAAAUUGCACGUGAAAUUUUAGGUGCGAAUUUGGAUUUUGAAAUAUAUAAUUGGAUAUUGCACCUUCGGACGGCUAAAAUUGCACGUGAAAUUUUGUGUGCAAAUUUAGAUUUUAAAAUGUGCAAUUAGAUAUUGCACCUUCGGACGUCUAAAAUUGCACAUAUUUUUUUGUACAAAUUUGGAUUUUUAAAUCUAUAAUUGGAUAUUGCAACUUCGAACGGCUAAAACUACACAUGUUUUUCAUGUGAAAAUUUAGAUUUUGAAAUGUGCAUUUCGAUAUUCGGGCGGCUAAAGCAAACUUUUCUUUAUUGUUUUUCUAUCUCUGCGUUUUUGGGCGAUGUUGCCAAUUUAGAUCGGGGGGAAGGAGAGCAUGCCCCAUGAUUUUUUUCUCUGCACUGCUUUUUUUUUAGGGAAUUCUCUGCACUGCUUUUUUGGUUUUGCUUGGCGAGAAGGUUAGGGUUCCCAGAUGUUUUAGAUCACGCACAGAAAGGGGCUGCUGGGACGUUGGGUUUGUGUCCAGUGGACAAGUGUUUUAGAUCGGCAUCGAGUGGGGCUGCUGCAUUUUUUGGGCCUUUCUAUGGCAGGCCAGCAGGGAAAGCCCAAUACAAAUAGGGCAGAAAAAACACAAAAAGGCCGACGAGGGGUUGAAAACAAACACAUAUACGGGCCGAUCUGGUCUCAGUCAAUCGGUAGGAGCAAGAAGAUCGACAACCAGGAUGGUCGACUGAGACACAAGAAGUCUCAGUCGACUGUGCCGUAGGCAAACCCAUUUUCAAUGACAAUUCUUUUGUGUUUGUAGAAUUAGGUCUGUCAUAAAUCCUUGUAUAACUCUUCUUUUUGGCAUUGUCUCAAGUGACAGGGAAAGGGACGCCGUGGUCUCUUUUGAUAUGAUUACCAAAACAUUGUUGAGUUCUCUCCUCGACCUUACAAUCAUCUUUGAGAUUGUGUUUUGCUCAUUCGACGCCUUCUCGACGGUACGGUCAUUAUUUUGGACGACACGCAUGAUCGGUCGACUUAGAAUUUGUGUUUCUUAGUCGACUGAGCCCUAGUCGGACCCUUAUGUUAUCCAACUGUGUGAAAAUUACGUGUAUAAAAGAGGUGCAUUUUCUUAUUGAUCAUCUAUCUUGGCAUCUUGCUUGAUUUUACCAAUCAGUAAACACGUCUGGAAAAUUUCAUUUUUGUCUCCAUGCAGCCUAUCUGUGUGUUUAUGAGCUUUGAAGUUCUUCAUGGUCCAACUGGCCUGCAAUAUGCAUGGGCCAUACGAAGUCGUGAUGGCUCUGAACAGAUUCACCAAUAGCAACAAUACGUUGACGGGUCGUCGUCAGCCCAGGUACGUGGCCAGGUGCGGCCACGCGGGCGAGCGCUCCAAGACCAAGAUGGUGCUGCCCUUGCAGAGCGCGCCGCUCGCGCACGGCCUCCAGAGUUCGGCCCCUCAGCGCCCUAGCCCACCAUGGCCACCGCCCGCCCGCAGGCGCAGCAUCCCGCUCUGCCCGGCUUCCGGUGUGUACGAUCGAUCUCGUCUCGGUGGAAUCGUGGAAGAGUAGGUCCGUAUGUGAGGAUGGUAUUCACAACAGAAUUUGAUCGAAGCAGUCGCUCCAAGAACUACAUACUCCAUGAUCCCAGUGAUGGCCGUGCAUGUUGCAUGUACGAUCCCGAUCCAAGGACAAGAAAUCCCAGUGAUGGCCAUGCAUGGCCGUGCAUGUUGCAUGUGGUGGUACUGAUCUGCUGAAUUCAAUUCGAGGAAGAUCGCUUGCACCUUGAGGAGGCAUAUAUAGUGCAUCCCUACAGUUUGUUGCAGACAUCAAAUAUGUUUCAUCUUUGCCUAAGAAAUAUAGUCUAGCUGAGUUGGGUCGGGAAAAUUGUAUAUGGGGAUGUUAGAGUGUGCGUGUAGAGACGGGAGGCACCAGGAAAGUAUUAAGCACCAGCGGUGACAAUCCGAUCUCGGUGUACCACUUACCACUCACACAGAUGCUACAGCGGUCCUACUUAGGCUAAUCGAACGAUCCGUGCCCUAUGAAUCAGAUCAUCACAACUAUCAGUUAAGGAACGGCCACGGUCGAAUCGUAAGCAUCAUACGGUUACAAUUGAACACAACGUUUUGAGUUAGUAAUUAAUUCUUUAGCUAUAAGUUGUUGACGUUUUACCUGUCAAACUAUCGUUUCGUGAAAUGUGACUCUAAAAACUCGAGUGAUUUAUGAGCCGAGCUCCCGAUUGAGGAAAGCAAGUAGUAAUGUAUUACUAAACCUUAACUUUACUUUUGUUCUUCGUCUUGGCCCACUUUUGCAUCUCAAUCUCCGUUGAUCCCAUCCGGAACUGGCAAAUUGGUGUCAGAAGUUAGCAUAUCUUUGGCAGCGAAUUGGGUUGGGUCACUUGGGUGAUUAGGCAUUGCGAUCUCUAGUAAAAUCCUCCGGAAUCACUCCGAUUCACUGUGGUGGUAGAUCUCGUCUCGGUGGCGUUUUUCGUUCAGGCCACGGAAGGGAUAUGAUCGUGGGGUGGGUUCAUGACUCAUUUCUUGGUACAGUUCCGGAACAAGGUGUUCAGUCCACAUGAUGGGCGGCUCCAAGAACCAGGAUGUGGUCGAUGCGUCUGAGUCUGUGGCCCUCGAUGUGGAAGCUACGGGAUCUCGCAUGGAGCAGCAGCAGCUGCUGCUACUACUGCUGUCAACAAUCCCUGCCCAACCCCCAUCACCUCUCUUUCCCUCCCGCACCUUGGUUUCACCAGCUCCAGCGUCUGGAAGAUGAUGGUCUGCUCUCAGCUCAAAUGAGGCUUUGUCGUCAGCUGCUGAAUCUCUGAAGUCUGAACCGCUGUAAGGUUUGUCUGUACCUUUGACGGUAGCCCGACGAAGGGGAGACCGGCCGCGUAUUUCGGAGGGAAGACGUGCCUGUACAGUGUACAGAGGGCCGACGCCUCGACGGCGAGCCCGUCCAGGUGGUCCAGGAACGGGAAAUGGUAGCGGUA